rnacentral:rRNA from 1 species
CAGGAGAGACGCCCGGUCCCAUUCCGAACCCGGAAGCUAAGGCCUGGCACGGCGAUGGUACUGCACCCGACAGGGUGUGGGAGAGUAGCACGCCGCCGCAC